rnacentral:rRNA from 1 species
UAAGGAAUAUUGGUCAAUGGAGGGAACUCUGAACCAGCCAUGCCGCGUGAAGGAUGAAGGUCCUCUGGAUUGUAAACUUCUUUUAUAGGGGGCGAAAAAAGGCUUUUUUAAGUCGUCUGACGGUACUCUAUGAAUAAGCACCGGCUAACUCCGUGCCAGCAGCCGCGGUAAUACGGAGGGUGCAAGCGUUAUCCGGAUUCACUGGGUUUAAAGGGAGCGUAGGUGGGUUAGUAAGUCAGUGGUGAAAUCUCCGAGCUUAACUCGGAAACUGCCAUUGAUACUAUUAGUCUUGAAUAUUGUGGAGGUUAGCGGAAUAUGUCAUGUAGCGGUGAAAUGCAUAGAUAUGACAUAGAACACCAAUUGCGAAGGCAGCUGGCUACACAAAUAUUGACACUGAGGCUCGAAAGCGUGGGUAGCGAACAGG